rnacentral:rRNA from 1 species
GCGGCGAGUGGCGAACGGGUGAGUAAUGUAUCGGAACGUGCCUAGUAGCGGGGGAUAACUACUCGAAAGAGUGGCUAAUACCGCAUACGAUCUACGGAUGAAAGCGGGGGACCGCAAGGCCUCGCACUAUUGGAGUGGCCGAUGUCGGAUUAGCUAGUUGGUGGGGUAAAGGCUUACCAAGGCGACGAUCCGUAGCUGGUCUGAGAGGACGAUCAGCCACACUGGAACUGAGACACGGUCCAGACUCC